CUGCCCUACGGGACGCAGCAGUCGAGAAUCAUUCACAAUGGGGGAAACCCUGAUGGUGCGACGCCGCGUGGGGGAAUGAAGGUCUUCGGAUUGUAAACCCCUGUCAUGUGGGAGCAAAUUAAAAAGAUAGUACCACAAGAGGAAGAGACGGCUAACUCUGUGCCAGCAGCCGCGGUAAUAAAGAGGUCUCAAGCGUUGUUCGGAAUCACUGGGCGUAAAGCGUGCGUAGGCUGUUUCGUAAGUCGUGUGUGAAAGGCGCGGGCUCAACACGCGGAGGGCACAUGAUACUGCGAGACUAGAGGAAU
rnacentral:rRNA from 1 species